AUUUAUAUAAUUUAUGAAGAAUAUUACAUUGAAGCUGCAAAAGAGAUAGUUUAUCUGUAAAUG
rnacentral:tRNA from 1 species